rnacentral:rRNA from 1 species
UACGGAGGAUGCGAGCGUUAUCCGGAUUUAUUGGGUUUAAAGGGUGCGUAGGCGGGCUUUUAAGUCAGCGGUAAAAAUUCGGGGCUCAACCCCGUCCGGCCGUUGAAACUGGGGGCCUUGAGUGGGCGAGAAGAAGGCGGAAUGCGUGGUGUAGCGGUGAAAUGCAUAGAUAUCACGCAGAACCCCGAUUGCGAAGGCAGCCUUCCGGCGCCCUACUGACGCUGAGGCACGAAAGCGCGGGGAUCGAACAGG